rnacentral:rRNA from 1 species
UACAGAGGGUGCAAGCGUUAAUCGGAAUUACUGGGCGUAAAGCGUGCGUAGGUGGUUUACUAAGUCAGGUGUGAAAUCCCCGGGCUCAACCUGGGAACUGCGCUUGAUACUGGUAAACUAGAGUUUAGUAGAGGGAAGUGGAAUUCCACGUGUAGCGGUGAAAUGCGUAGAUAUCGUAAGGAAGACCAGUGGCGAAGGCGGAUCUCUGGACAGUUACUGACACUGAGGCACGAAGGCCAGGGGAGCAAACGGG